AGGACGAACGCUGGCGGCGUGCCUAACACAUGCAAGUUGAGCGACGAACCAGGGCUUGCCCUGGGGCAAAGCAGCGAACGGGUGAGUAACACGUGGGUAACCUGCCCCGAUAACCGGGACAACCCGAGGAAACUCGGGCUAAUACCGGAUGUGCUCGUCAGACCCAAGUCUGACGCGUAAAGGAAGCUUCGGCCUCCGUAUCGGGAGGGGCCCGCGGCCCAUUAGUUAGUUGGUGAGGUAACGGCUCACCAAGACCGCGAUGGGUAGCUGGUCUGAGAGGACGAUCAGCCACACUGGGACUGAGACACGGCCCAGACUCCUACGGGAGGCAGCAGUGGGGAAUAUUGCGCAAUGGGCGAAAGCCUGACGCAGCGACGCCGCGUGAGGGAUGAAGGCCUUCGGGUCGUAAACCUCUUUCAGCAGGGAAGAAGCGAAAGUGACGGUACCUGCAGAAGAAGCACCGGCUAACUACGUGCCAGCAGCCGC
rnacentral:rRNA from 1 species